UACGUAGGCAGCGAGCGUUGUUCGGAGUUACUGGGCGUAAAGGGUGUGUAGGCGGUCCCUUAAGUUUGGCGUGAAAUCUCCCGGCUCAACUGGGAGGGUGCGCCGGAUACGUGAGGGGCUAGAGUGCGGGAAGGGAAAGUGGAAUUCCUGGUGUAGCGGUGAAAUGCGUAGAUAUCAGGAGGAACACCGGUGGUGCAAACGGCUUUCUGGACCGUAACUGACGCUGAGACACGAAAGCGUGGGGAGCAAACAGG
rnacentral:rRNA from 1 species